rnacentral:lncRNA from 1 species
CCUGGGUACCAUCACCAGUGCGGGGCAGCCCGUGAGCCCCUGGAGAGAGGUCUCCCUGACACCCUGCCCACUCCUCCUGGGGCCGAGCAGGAGUCACAUCCGAGGGCUGGGUCAUUAUCUGAUAAAUGAGUGGGUUGUGCAGAUGAGUAAACAGGGACUGACCCAGAGGUCAGGUGUAACUCAGCCUCAGAAACUGCAUGUGUCAAUAGGAAUCGAAGGGCCAAGGAAUGUGGUUUUCGUUGAUGUCAACUUGCUGCAAAGGACCACACCUGCUUCUCGACCCGGGAACGUGGGAAAGGGAAAGGCAUGGCUUGUUUUGGUGGAGAUGGAGGAGCUGGUAACAGUGGAGGAAUGCCCUUCUGCUGACUCACAGCGGGGAGGUGCUCUGGGCCCCUGCCACUGCCCGAGGACUUCGGCUUUCGGUUGUCCUGAUGAGAGGACGCAGCAUUUGAGCAGUAGCUUCUGGAACCCAGAGUGAAGCCCCACCCAGGCACCCUGACAGCACCACGGGAAUGCUCCCGGCACAGCAGGCGGGACUCUGGAGAAGCACAGCCUCCGUGCUCCUUGUAGAUGUUCAGUUCAAACUCCACGGUUUGUGUGACUCACUGAGGGGCUUGGUUUGGCUCUUGCUGACGAGUCUGUCAUUGGUGCCAGGUGACAUGCUUGUCCCCUCCUUCCUUCUAGCCCUCUCUCUUGCCCCAGGGCUUCAGAAGCAGUGGGAGGGCUACUGUGUUGCCCUCUGGCCCAAGCUCUGGUAUUCCCUUUGUGGUGGGUGCUCUCAUUCCUUUGCAAUGUGCCCUGCAGUGUAAACCCGGGGGAUCCAUGAGACAGGGAACCCACGUCUGUUUUCUCCAUUUGGUGUAGCAUAGCAGUGGGCGUUUGCCAGACAGGGCCUGUCAUGUGGACCCUACACCUAUUCACACACCUGCCAUUUUCCUUCGGAAUCCUGUUCCCAGUGGGUGACGGGUUUAAAAGCCUAGAGCUGAAUUCUAUCCACAUUGGAUCCGACCCACAUUCCAAUGCUCUUGUAAGUCUCCAGUUGGUCAAAUGAGCAGUUUGAUCCCUUGAUCCUUCAAAAUACCAGAUAUAUUUAUUUCUUCUUGCCUUUUGAUCUUUCAAGCUUGAAAUUUCUCGGCACAUAAAAGUCUUCAAAAUGCCCUCAAACUUCUGUCUCCAAAGGCAAUUUUUUUUCCACUUUUUCAUUUUUUUGUAGAGAUAGUCUCACUAUGUUGCCCAGGCUGGUCUUGAACUCCUGGCCUCAAGUGAUCCUCCCCCCUUGGCUUCCCAAAGUGCUGGGAUUACAGGUGUGAGCUGCUGUGCCCGGCCACCAAAGGCAUUUUUACUUGGCUCUGUACAGUGGAGCUGCUUCUCUAUUUGGAGGUUGAAGUUUGUGUCAGGUUCUUGAGUUUGUAAGAAUAGGACAUGAAAACAGAGAGCCUUUUAAUCAGAUGAGCAGCUAUCUAUGUUAUGUUUUCACA